CCCCUGUUAGGUUCUAGGCUCCUGAGAGCAUCUUGGGAAGAAUUCUCCAAAUUCCCAGAUCAGGCUCUUUAUUUUUAUUUAUUUAUUUAUGUAAAACUUUUAGCUUUCAAAACACAUGCACAGAUAAUCUUCAGCAUUCACCCUUGCAAAACCUUGUGUCCCCCAAUUUUUUUCUCCCUUCCUUCCUCCCAUUUUCUCUCCAAGAUGUCAAAUAAUCUUAAACCGUGCGAUUCUUCCAUACAGAUCUCCACAGUUAUCUUGCUGCACAAGAAAAAUCUAAUCAAAAAGGAAAAAAAAUGAGAAAGGAAACAAAAUGCAAACAAACGACCACAAAAAGUGAAAAUCCUAUGUUGUGUGAUCCACCCUCAGUCCCCAGUCCCUCUCUGGGGGCCGAUGGUCUCUCCAUCACGACCAUUGGGACUGGCCUGAAUCCCCUCGCUGUUGACAAGAACCACGUCCACCAGAAUUGAUCAUUGCACAGUCUUCUUGUUGCCGUGUACGGUGAUCCCCUGGUCCUGCUCACUUCCCUCAGCCUCAGUUCCUGUGAGUCUCUCUGGCCUCUCUGAAUCCUCCCGCUGGUCGUUUCCUACAGAACAAUAAUAUUCCCUCACAUCCCUAUCCCCUUACUCAUUGUGCCGUCCUCCCUGACGGCGUCCCCUCAGUGUCCUCCCUUGGCCACCACACGAGGGGCCGCCAAGCUUCACACGUGUGGGUCCUUUUCUUUCUUACAAUCUCUUUGGGACGCCGUAGGGAGGUGACUGAAUCACAGUCUGAUGGCCCCUUGGGCGGAGUCCCAGAGUGCUCCCCAGAACGGCUGCCUCGGCUCACACUCCUCCUCUUCUGCCUUUUUAAAGCAUGGACUUAGAACCUGAUGAAGACCGAGGGGACUUGAUUAGUCGUUGCAUCCAAGCCUUCCUUUUUAAAGGGCAGGAAAUAACGGUCCUGGGGCUUGUCCAAAGUCAUGCAGGUAAUAAGCGUGGGAUUUGAACCCAGGACCUCUGAUUCCAAAUCUGUUUCUCUUUCCACUCUAUGCAUGGCCUUGUCCCUUUGGAAAUAGGGAUGAGUGUCCUGAACUAGGUCUGCCCUCUUUUGGGGCCAUUUGUUACCAGGAACAAGCCUUCACAAGGGGGUCCCACAGCUGGCUGCUGGGCUUUGGUUAAGGGAAGUUAUCGGCCAGUGAGUUAGGGAUGAGGAGGUGACCAGAGUUAAAAUCAGUCUGGGAACAAGAUCAGGGGGUUGGCCUGUGACUAGGAGGUCAGUCUGUGACUAGGGUAGGAGGUCAGUCUGUGAAUAACAUUAGAGGUCAGUCUGACUAGAGUUGGAGGUCAGUCUGUGACUAGGAUAGGAGGUCAGUCUGUGACUAGGAUAGGAGGUCAGUCUGUGACUAGGGUUGGAGGUCAGUCUGUGACUAGGGUCGGAGGUCAGUCUGUGAUUAGGCUUGGAGGUCAGUCUGUGACUAGGGCUGGAGGUCAGUCUGUGAAUAAGGUUAGAGGUCAGUCUGUGACUAAGGUUGGAGGUCAGUCUGUGACUAGAGUUGGAGGUCAGUCUGUGACUAGGGUCAGAGGUCAGUCUGUGACUAGGCUUGGAGGUCAGUCUGUGACUAGGGCUGGAGGUCAGUCUGUGAAUAAGGUUAGAGGUCAGUCUGUGACUAAGGUUGGAGGUCAGUCUGUGACUAGAGUUGGAGGUCAGUCUGUGACUAGGGUCAGAGGUCAGUCUGUGACUAGAGUUGGAGGUCAGCCUGUGACUAGGGUUGGAGGUCAGUCUGUGACUAGGGUCAGAGGUCAGUCUGUGACUAGGGUUGGAGGUCAGUCUGUGACUAGAGUUGGAGGUCAGCCUGUGACUAGAGUCAGAGGUCAGCCUUGACUAGGGUUGGAGGUCAGUCUGUGGCCAGGCCUGGUACACAGUCUGUUACUGAGGUUAAAAUUCUGAGUCUUGGUUAGCAGCUCGCUAGUAAUUCUGACUAAGAGUCAGAUGUGGCUGGGUUCGUGGGGUCGGCGUGCACUGGUCAUCGGGGCGUCCGUUUGGGGAGAUCCCAAGCCGACGUCCGGCUGCAGGCGGCCCGGGAUCCCGGGUCAGGGCCUGGUGGUGGGGCCCUCAGGCCGGCUCCGUGGCCCCGCUCCCGGGAGCUGCACGUGGCCGGGGGAGGCCCCUCGCUGGGCUGCUGGCAGGGCCGGCCGACAUUCCUCGUGACUGAUUGUGCGCGGCCGACGGCUCGGGAGCCAAGGCCCGGACAGGUUUUUCGCGUUAGGGAGCUGGAAGCCUCUCUGGGCAGGGCCUGCACAGGCGGCUGCAGCUCGGGGCCUUGGCUGUGCGUGAGCUCAUCUUACCCUUGGCAGCCCUCGGACCUC